rnacentral:rRNA from 1 species
CCCGAAAUAGUUUUAGGACUAGCCUCUCUGAUUAGUAUUUUGGAGGUAGAGCACUGAAAGGGUUGCUGCGGCUUCGGCUAGGCAUCUCUAUCAAACUCCGAAUGCCAAAAUAUAUACAGAGGGAGUCAGACAGUGGGAGCGAAGUUCCAUUGUCGCGAGGGAAACAGCCCAGAUCGUCAUCUAAGGUCCCUAAAUCUAAACUAAGUGUUAGUAAGGAGGUGAAAUUUCUCAGAUAGCUAGGAGGUUAGCUUAGAAGCAGCUAUCCUUUAAAAAGUGCGUAACAGCUUACUAGUUAAGAGAUUUUGCGCCGAAGAUUUCCGGGACUCAAGUUUAGUACCGAAGAUACGACUUGGUAUUUUUAAUACCAGGGGUAGGGAAGCGUUCUUAUUGCACUGAAGCUAAACCGUGAGGUUUGGUGGAGCGAUGAGAAGUGAGAAUGUUGGCAUAAGUAACCACAAUUGAAGUGAGAUUCUUCAACACCGUAAAUCCAAGGUUUCCUUGGCAAUGUAGAUCAACCAAGGGUUAGGCGGGCCUUAGGAAAAGCCGAAAGGUUUAUCUGAUGGACAGCCGGUUAAUAUUCCGGCCCUCUAACAUUUUUCUGAAGGGUGACGCGAUUUAGUAACUUGAGCGGAUUAUUGGAUUUCCGUCGACUAUUUAAGGGGCAACCCAAGAAUAGGAGCGUAGCUUAUCCUCGGAUAAGUUAAGUCAAGUGAGCAAGUCGACAAGAAAAGCCCGCAAGGUUAAAAAUGUUAGAUCCGUACUAAAACCGACACAGGUGGAUGGGCACAAGUGUGCCAAGGUGAACAAGUGAAAGAUCCUGAAGGAACUCGGCAAAAAAGUGAUCGUAACUUAGGAAUAAGAUCCGCCUUUCUUUGCAAAAAGAAAGGCCACAGCAAGCGUUUCUCUAGCGACUGUUUAUCAAAAACACAGGUCCCUGCUAAUUCGUAAGAGGAAGUAUAGGGGCUGAGGCCUGACCAGUGCUGGAGUGUUAAAAGUGGCGGUUGCCUCGCUCUUGUUUCAUAAAACGAUCCUGAGUUCUUGUAAGUAGUUUGAUUAGUUAAGAUAAUAAUAAUUUAAUGUGUCUUUUUAAAAUAGGUAAGAUAUAUUGCAAUAUUAAGGAACUCAGAGAUUGCGUUUGUGAAUCGAGAGCGGGGCAGCUGACUGCUCCAAGCCUCCGGUGAACGUCCGCGGUAACUCUGACCGUGUUAAAGUAGCGUAAUCCCUUGUCGGGUAAGUUCCGACCCGCAUGAAAGGCUUAACGACUGGAGAACUGUCUCCAGGAUCUGCUUGGUGAAAUCGCAAUAGAGGUGAGAAUGCCUCUUACCUGUGGCUAGACAAGAAGACCCCAGGAGCUUUACUAUAUCCUGGCAUUGAAUUUUGGUAAUAAUUGCGUAGCGUAGGAGGGAGACUUUGAAGCUAUCUUUUCGGGGAUAGUGGAGUCGCCAAUGAAACACCUCUCUUUUAAUAUCAGGGUUCUAACUUUACUAUCUGAGAAGGGUAGUAGAAGACAGUGCUUGGUUGGUAGUUUAAGUGGGGCGCUUUUCUCCUAAAAAGUAACGGAGAAGUUUAAAGGUUGGCUAGAUCCGGAUGGAAAUCGGAUUGGUCCUGUAAAGGGAUAAGCCAGCUUGACUGCAAGACGGGUAUGUCGCGCAGAUGCGAAAGCAGAACUUAGUGAACCGACCAUGGUUCGUAGGACCGUGGGAGAUCAUCAGACAAAAGUUACCCUGGGGAUAACAGGCUGGUAGUGCCCAAGAGUCCAUAUCAACGGCACUGUUCGGCACCUUAACAUAUCGGGGUGCAUUAACAGCAAUGUUAUUUAAGAAAUUGGCUUAUAACGGUGGACUCCAUAGUGAAAAUCAGCUAUAACAUAAUCAUUAUGGACAAUACCGUGGGAAGUCUAACACAAUUACAAAGAUCAUUGAUUAUCGGUUCGGUUUUAGGUGACGGGGAUAUUAGAAUUAUACCUGGUCACAAAGAUGCUUUUUUAGAAAUAAAACAUUUCCUAAAAGCAAAAGAUUAUGUAGAUUGGAAAUAUUCUGUACUAAAGAAUAUUUGCAAUUCCGAACCUAAGGAAAGAGAAACCAAUAAAGGUAGAAUGGCUUAUUGUUUUUUUACUAAACAAGAUAAAGAAAUUACAGAAAUAUAUAAUCUCCUUUAUCAA